AUCAAAGAGCAAGAGGUUUAUGUCACUUGAGAAGUGCCAUCAUGCUGGUCAUCUGUCUCUAAUUUCAAUUGAUGUAUGUGCUAACAUCUUUUUUUGUGCUUUGGCCACAUGUGAUAGAUUGUUGUUGUCAAUCUUUUUUGAAACUGCUUAUGUUGUCAAACUGCACCGUGUUGUAAGGCUUACACCCUCCCAACCUGUCUUUACGUUUACUCAUCCAGAGUCUGAAUUACAAGAAGCAAUCAGGGAUAUAUGAAGCUUCAGUUUGAGAUGCCCAAUGACACUGGAUCAGCCUUGGUUCAUGGUGCAAGCUUGGAUUUGAGGAACAUAUAUCUCCAUUGUAACAAAUUGGAACUCGACCGAUACCUUGUACAGUGGUGAACACCAACAUUGUAGAUUUUGUUUUACUAGCU